rnacentral:rRNA from 1 species
GACGAACGCUGGCGGCGUGCUUAACACAUGCAAGUCGAACGAAGUGGCGAACGGGUGGGUAGUACGUGGCUAACCUGCCCUCCUUUUCGGGAUAAGCCUUGGCAACGGGGUCUAAUACCGUAUAUAGGGGGAUGGGCUCGCGGCCUAUCAGCUGGUUGGUGGGGUGAUGGCCUACCAAGGCGGUGACGGGUAGCCGGCGUGAGAGGGUGACCGGCCACAUUGGGACUGAGAUACGGCCCAGACGCGUACGGGGGGGAGCAGUUGGGGCAAUGGCACAAUGGGCGAGAGACUGAUGCAGCGACGCCGCGUGGGGUAUGAAGGCUUUCGGGUUGUAAAGUUCUUUCGCUAUCGAAAGGGUAGGUGGAGAAGAAGCGCCGGCUAACUACGUGCCAGCAGCCGCGGUAAUAC